CGUGACGGUGGGCAUGGAGCUGUUCGAGCAACACCAAGGCACGCACAUUUUACAGGUGAGCCACGCGGAGGGGCGGAACCGUCGGCGGCCGCCGCGCGUAUCUAACGCGGUCCGGAAGACGGCGGUAGGUUAACGGCCCCCCAGGCGGCGCCAUGGGUCGGCUAUCCCUUCCUUCUCCAUCCCGAGUCGGUACGGGUUGGGGUCGAGCUCCGUCAGACCGUCCAGUUCCCGGACGGCCAGCCCCGGGUGACGGAGACGGGCAAAUUUUACGCUAGCAGCCUUUAAAUUAUCGAUGGGCGGAGAAAGCCUUUACUUAUUAAUGGGACGGUGCCGACUAGCAAUUAUAAUACUAAUAAUGUUAGGAAAUAUAAUUUUCCGGUUUAAGGCGCUAAAUCCCGUCCAUUCGGCUAUUUAUUUCAUUCCCGUUUCUAGUUAUCUGGGCAGUAGCCGGCUCUCGUCUGUCGGCGCUAACAAAUUUAUCUUUUCGCUCGGUGCCGGGACGCGCGACUUCUUAAGACCGUGACAGAAGGCACCCUGGUCAUCCCUGGAUCCACCUUAGCCAAUCAUAUCCGCGCCCGCUGGGAGUGGGCCGGUGUGGCUACGACUAGGUGAGGGCAACGGGUGUCGGCCGCGGCCACUACUCGGAAUUGGGUCGGCAUCUGCACCCAUCGGAUCACUUAAACUCAUUAGUACCGACUUUUAAAAAGCGGUGAUAAAAGGAACGCGACUUCAGUCGGUUUGGCCGCUAUAUCCGUGUUUCUCAAACUGUAUUCCGCCAAGAAAGGAAAACCAUCUCCUCUAAAAGUUUAAAAGAAAAUUCAUCACUCGCUAAGUUUCGGAUUGGUGUCAAUAGCCAAUACCAGGAUUUAAGUGACGGGGCGAUUGAAAUUAUUCUUCCACUUAUUUAUGUGAGAGCCGAUUGUCAACGCUCGCUUUAAGCGAGACAAAACCAGGCGAUAGACUAAAUUUGGCAUCAAGUAUAAGAUUAUGUUUAACCAACAUCGAACCAAAUAUCGAAAAUUUAUACGAGUCGAGGCCAUCUCACCUUCCUAUAAACGUAAUUAUAAAUUCAAGAAUUAAUAGUUACGUUUGUGUUAUUGGACUGGUUAAUCGUUUUGUUUUUACCUUCCGGUUUUCAUUAAAUACGAAUUAGAAUAUAUUUUAUUUUAAAAUAAUUUUUCUUUCUUUAUUUUUUCUUAUAAAAACAAUUCGAUGCAAAAAUUUAUUUUCUUUGUCC
rnacentral:lncRNA from 1 species